AAUUCACAUCGGCGGCGGCGCCUCGCCGUCUCCUCCGCGCUCCCCGGCGCGGCGGUUCCCUCCCUCCCGCCGGGCGGGCAGCAGAGAGACAGAUGCAACCAAGCAAAAGGCGGGCCUAAAAAAAUGCAAAAGCAAACUUGCUUCGCAAGACUGGCUUGCUCUCCACGACUCGCAUGGAUGCUCCUCCUCCUCGCUGAUUCACUCGACGGACCGACCGGCCCCUCGCACCCAGCGCCGCCCUCCCGUUUCUGAGCCCUGAGCCGCAGAGAGGGGGUGACCCGACGCGCCGAUGCGACCGAUACGACUGUCGGAGCCGGAGCCGGAGCCUCCGGGCGGGGCCACGCCGGAGAUCUUCGCCGCGGGCGGCGGCGCGGCGGUGGUGCGCCGCGCCGUCGUCAUCGGCAACGGCUGCGCCGGCGCGGAGAGCCAGUGCUUCGGCCUCCUCCGCGCGCUGGGCCUCGCCGACCGCUUCACGCUCUACCGUGCUAUCAGACCAACAGGAGGAAUCAACAAGUGGCUGCAUUUUCUUCCGUUCUCCUUCCGCAAAACACUGGACCAAUUUCACAGGCGGGUAUUUUCUGAUACGAGAUUUGCAGCAUUGGUUAAAGGAAACAAGUUCGUGCAGUAUCCUGUCCGUAACUGUCAAUCAUUUGGACUGUCUUCUGUACUGGAAGCAGAUACUCAAAAGAUGGUUACCAUGGUCUGUGAUACCUUUGAAAAAGAAGGUCCUGCACUGGUUGUUGCUUGUGGCCGAGAUACCAUAUCAUAUGCAAGUUCCAUAAGGUGUUUAGCUCCAGAUAGUGUGUUUGUCAUUCAGAUACAACAUCCCAGGUUUCACCUUGAUAGGUUUGAUUUAGUCGUGACGCCUCGUCAUGACUACUAUGCUUUUACUGCAAAGGGACAACAGGAAGUUCCACGCCUUCUCCGGAGAUGGAUUACUCCACAAGAACCACCUGGUCCUAACGUGGUCCUCACAGCUGGUGCACUACACCAAGCAGAUUCUGCUGCUUUACGUUCUGCCGCUGCAGAUUGGCAUGCUGAACUGACUCCUUUGCCGAAGCCAUUGGUAGUAGUAAACAUUGGUGGGCCAACAAGAAACUGUAAAUAUGAUGUGGACCUUGCCAAGCAGCUGGUAAACUCGCUGCACAAUGUUCUGAAGACAUGUGGAAGUGUCAGAAUUUCAUUUUCUAGGAGAACGCCACAAAAGGUGUCUGAUCUCAUAUUGAAAGAGUUCAGUACACAUCCUAAGAUUUAUAUUUGGGAUGGUGAAGGUCCUAAUCCGCACCUGGGCCAUCUUGCAUGGGCUGAUGCUUUCAUCAUAACAGCAGACUCUAUAAGCAUGCUAAGUGAGGCAUGCAGUACUGGGAAGCCUGUCUACGUCAUUGGAGCCGAGCACUGCAGGUGGAAGUUCUCAGAUUUUCACAACCGUCUUCAUGAGCGUAGGGCUGUCCGGCCUUUCACUGGACUGGAAGAUAUGUCAGAUAGCUGGAGCUAUCCUCCCCUGAAUGACGCUGCUGAUGUGGCUGCAAGGGUUCGUGAAGCGCUUGCACAACGUGGAUGGAGGCUGGGUUAACUGUACAGAGAAGAGAAUGAAAUUUAUGGCAAACUUGACUGAUUGCACGAUUUGCAUGAAGCGCAACCGGUUCCACAUGAAGUUUGAGCAACCAUACAUCCGAUUCCAAAGGUAAAUACUCAUCAGUCAUCACUGAAAGAGUUGGUCAUGGCCUAAAGGGACAUCUGCCAUCGUGGGCUGUGACUGUGCUGAGUUUAUCCUCAGACGCCAUUGCUCCGUUGUGCUGCGACGAAUGUGUAAAUCCUUUCGUGGCCUGAGAAAUUAGGGAGGCCACGUUAGGUGGCGGCCCAGCAUAAAGUAAGCCCUGCUUUGCCGAAGGGUAAUAGAUCUAAUCUAAGCUUGGCUGGUGCUGCUCUUGUUUAUCCCGGUGCCGUUGGGUCGUUUAGUUCCCAAAUGAAAAAAAUUUGGGUGUCACGUCAACGGUUUGACCAGAUGUCGGGAGGGUUUUUCGGAUACUAAUUAAAAAACUAAUUUCAGAACUCACUUGGAAACUGCGAGACGAAUCUUUUGAGGCCUUUGACCGCAUCAUUAGCACAUGUGAGUUAUUGUAGCACUUAUAGCUAAUCAUACACUAA